UAGGCGCACGGGUGAGUAACACGUGACUAACCUACCCUCGAGUGGGGAAUAACCUAGAGAAAUCUGGGCUAAUACCGCAUAACACUUACGAGUCAAAGCAGCAAUGCGCUUGAGGAGGGGGUCGCGGCAGAUUAGCUAGUUGGCGGGGUAAUUGCCCACCAAGGCAAUGAUCUGUAUCCGGCCUGAGAGGGCGCACGGACACACUGGAACUGAAACACGGUCCAG
rnacentral:rRNA from 1 species